GAUGAACGCUAGCGGCAGGCUUAAUACAUGCAAGUCGAGGGGCAGCACAGGUAGCAAUACUGGGUGGCGACCGGCAAACGGGUGCGGAACACGUACGCAACUUUCCCGGAACUGGGGGAUAGCCCUCCGAAAGGAGGAUUAAUACCCCCGUAAUAUAAUAGGGUGGCAUCAUUUUAUUAUUAUAGCUCAGGCGGUUCUGG
rnacentral:rRNA from 1 species